GCCGGGCGCCGUGGCGACGCUUGUAAUCCCAGCGGCUCGGGAGGCUGAGGCAGGAGGAUCAAAGUUCAAGGCCAGCCUCAGCAAGGGCCAAGCUCUAAGCAACUUCAGUGAGACCCUGUCUCUA
rnacentral:sRNA from 1 species